CGGCCGCCGAUUCUCUCCAAGUCGUGCCCUAACCAAACCAGCAAGUAGAUUCCCUUCGGCAGUUCUGGUGAAUUGAUGAUUGGGCUCUUGUUCGGAGGAUUGUGAUGCAGUUUUGUGUUGCUGGUUUUUCUGUGUUUACAGAUUUCGGACAGAAUUUGUUAGGACGUUGAUUGAAGACGGUUGA